rnacentral:tRNA from 1 species
GCGCGGGUGGUGGAAUUGGUAGACACGUACGUUUGAGGGGCGUAUGGAGCAAUCCAUGAGGGUUCAAGUCCCUCCCCGCGCA